GUGCAGCCGCCGCGGUAAUACCGGCAGCCCGAGUGAUGGCCGAUCUUAUUGGGCCUAAAGCGUCCGUAGCUGGCCGAACAAGUCCGUCGGGAAAUCCACGUGCUUAACACGGGGGCGACCGGCGGAAACUGUUCGGCUUGGGGCCGGAGGACCCGAGGGGUACGUCCGGGGUAGGAGUGAAAUCCUGUAAUCCUGCACGGACCACCGAUGGCGAAAGCACUUCGAGAAAACGGAUCCGACAGUGAGGGACGAAAGCCAGGGUCUCCAACCGGAUUAGAAACCCUGGUAGUCC
rnacentral:rRNA from 1 species